AGCAGCCGCGGUAAUUCCAGCUCCAAUAGCGUAUAUUAAAGUUGUUGCAGUUAAAAAGCUCGUAGUUGAAUUUCGGGGUUAGUAGGUUGGUCAUGCCUCUGGUAUGUACUGGUCUCACUGAUUCCUCCUUCCUGAUGAACCGUAAUGCCAUUAAUUUGGUGUUGCGGGGAAUUUGGACUGUUACUUUGAAAAAAUUAGAGUGUUUAAAGCAAGCUAACGCUUGAAUACAUUAGCAUGGAAUAAUGAAAUAGGACGUUCGAUCCUAUUUUGUUGGUUUU
rnacentral:rRNA from 1 species